CUGGGAUGUCCAGACUGUGGCAAAGAGUCCUCUGGUAGGCCCAAGGUUCUCAGGAGCAUCUUGGCUUCACGCAGGUCCUCCACCAUGUGGAUGGUUUCUCCUUGCUGGAUCUGUAGGGACCGUGGCAACCGCCAUCGGUACUGCAAGCUGUGAGCUCUGAGCAGGGCAGUGAAGGGCUGCAUUGAUUUGCACCAUAUCAGAGUUUCUCCGGAGAGAUCCUGGUAAAAUGUAAGUGUCAUGUUCUCGAACGUAAAUGGGGUCUUAUACGUUAGUGCAGCCUGGACCGCCAUCUUGUCGACCAUAUCGUGGAAUCACACCACUAAAUCCCUAGGUGCUGUUGCCGGCGCGCAUCAGGCUUUUGGGAUUCGAAUGACCCUGUUGAAAGUGAGGUUCUUAGCCUGUUUGGGUGCCAGCAGUUCUUAGCCUGUUUGGGUGCCAUCAUCCGUCUCAAAAGGUGUGGGAGUUCAGCCAUCAGAGUUUCCUCUGGUAUGUCCCUGAGCUUUAGACUUUUUUGGCGCCAUAUGUCCUCUAGGGUGGCAAAGCGCUGAUCAGUAAGGGCCUGUUGUUGCUUAAGUGCUUGUACUUCCUGCUGUAGCUCUGCCAUCACCUGCCUCUCUGCGGUGGUUUCGACUUUUUCCAAAUGGCCUACCAGGCCCGUUAGGUUGGAGCGGAG